rnacentral:rRNA from 1 species
UGGGGAAUUUUGGACAAUGGGCGAAAGCCUGAUCCAGCAAUGCCGCGUGUGUGAAGAAGGCCUUCGGGUUGUAAAGCACUUUUGUCCGGAAAGAAAUGGCUCUGGUUAAUACCUGGGGUCGAUGACGGUACCGGAAGAAUAAGGACCGGCUAACUACGUGCCAGCAGCCGCGGUAAUACGUAGGGUCCAAGCGUUAAUCGGAAUUACUGGGCGUAAAGCGUGCGCAGGCGGUUGUGCAAGACCGAUGUGAAAUCCCCGAGCUUAACUUGGGAAUUACAUUGGUGACUGGACGGCUAGAGUGUGUCAGAGGGGGGUAGAAUUCCACGUGUAGCAGUGAAAUGCGUAGAGAUGUGGAGGAAUACCGAUGGCGAAGGCAGCCCCCUGGGAUAACACUGACGCUCAUGCACGAAAGCGUGGGGAGCAAACAGG